GGACGAACGCUGGCGGCGUGCUUAACACAUGCAAGUCGAACGAGGCUUAGGGAAGAGCUUGCUCGGAACUAAGCCGAGUGGCGGACGGGUGAGUAACGCGUGAAUAAUCUGUCUCAUACAGGGGGGAUAACGCAUCGAAAGAUGUGCUAAUACCGCGUAGGACCACGACGGGGCAUCCCGUUGAGGUGAAAGGAGCAAUCCAGUAUGAGGAUGAGUUCGCGUCUGAUUAGAUAGUUGGUGAGGUAACGGCCCACCAAGUCAACGAUCAGUAGCCGACCUGAGAGGGUGAUCGGCCACAUUGGGACUGAGACACGGCCCAGACUCCUACGGGAGGCAGCAGGUGGGGAAUAUUGGGCAAUGGGCGAAAGCCUGACCCAGCAACGCCGCGUGAAGGAAGAAGGUUUUCGGAUCGUAAACUUCUGUCCUAUAUGAAGAGCAGUAGACGGUUAGUAUAGGAGGAAGCCCCGGCUAACUACGUGCCAGCCGCUGC
rnacentral:rRNA from 1 species